rnacentral:tRNA from 1 species
UCUCAGUAUGGCAGAUUAGUGCAAUGAACUUAAAAUUCAUAUAUGAAUAACUUUAUUUUGCUGAAA